CAGGCGUCCAGUCCUGGGGCGAGGACUCUGAGCCCCCGAUAAGGAGGCUCAGCCCUGCCCUCAAGGGAAGCCGCAGAUUUCACCAGGAAGUCCAGAGGUCGGCUUUGGGGAGGCCUUGGACCUUGUCCUCUGCAAUCUCCCAACAUCCUGCUUCAGGGUGUUGGGCUCUGAGCUCUGGUCAGUGCUCCUUCUGCUCCCUGUCGCUGUUGCCCCCAUGGGCUCACCCUCUCAAGGGGCAUUUCUGCAUUUCCUUUCUUGCUCCCUGAACUACCUGUGGCUUGUUCACUCUGUUUCAGCUAGAUUCUGACUUAGCCUUUUAUUGAGCAUCUGCUAUAUGCCAGGCGCUCUCUCCAAAACCUUGUUCUGCCCACCUCAUCCUUCAUCCCCAAUUCCAGAAGGAAGCUCGUUUCCAAGAUGCUCCUCCUUGGGGAGCCUUGCCUGACCCAUCAGGCUGGACCAGGCCCACCUGCCUCCACAUUCCAGCAAGACCCGCAGCACAUUGAGAUUGUUCUUUCCUCUCCCACGUUGUUCUGUGAGCUCCUGGGGCCGGGCCACUGCAGAGAACUGAUUCUGCAUGCUGUUAGCACUCCAUAUAUAUUUCUGAAUGAUCAGAUGGACCAGAGGGUCACUCAGACACCAAACAUCACCUGAGGAAUCAGAGUGAAGUCUGAGCGAGAGACCCUGGGCACGUACACAGGGCCAUUGCUUCACCCUCCGGAUGAAGAAAUCCAUUGACCCGCAGCAUUUCAGAAGUGAAGUUUCAAAUGAUCUGAGAAAGGGAAGGGCUUUGGGCCAGAAACUUGGAGCAACAACAAACAGACCACACUGCAGAAUCUUCUUAGCUGACAAAUUUCAUUUACGCCACCUGAGGAGGCAGCGACGCUGCUCUUUUGUUCUCCGUUUAAUCACGCGCGCCAGUUUUUCCUUCUUGUCCCAGGUAGAAAAAGGAUGUUCUUGGACACACACCCUUUAUCCCCUCAAAUCCCUUUAAUGCCAAACAUGCAGUGCCGUUUAUUUUUUCACAAUGUCAAAGUUCUGCAGCAAACCAUCGACUCUGGGCAAAGCUCUCAUGUUCAUCCAGGUCUAAUUUAUGGUCUUAAUAGCAAUAAAUGUACCCAGGCUUCGUGUCAGCAGUCACCAUCACUGAUCUUUAUUGAGCACUUGCAUUAUCUUAUUUAAUCCUCACAGCCUCACUUGGAGGGAGGAAGUGCGGCCUUCCUUUUGGAGAAGAGGAACUUAAGACUUGAAGUUGCAGAUGCUAUCACUUUCCCCUUCCCUCGGGUCUCAACAUUUCAGGGCACUUCUCCUGCACUUGCACGUCCAGGUGCCAGCUCCCCUAGCUCUUUGUCCAGGGAGAGACGGGAGCAGCCCUCAGCCAACCACUGAUGGGGCCAUCGUCCCUCAGGUGGGAGCAUGCUGAGGUAUGUGCUUUGCCCUGCCCCUGGAAGUCCCCAGAAAGAUCCAUCACCUGCUUGAUGAAGACGCAUGACCGGUGUCCUUCCUUUGCGGUCCCUUUGCUUGAUUCCCUACUAUUGCUUCCCGGGAUCACCUCCCACAUAAAUGGCUUGCCUUCAGAUCAUUGCCUCCAAGUCUAUUUCCUACAGAAGCCAAACCCAGACAGAGUGGUUGGGCCACCUGCCCGAGGAGCAUGGAAGUAGGGUUGACACUGGGAUUUGAAUCCUGCUUCCCAGGACCCCAAAGCCUGGGGAAUGGAUGCAUAACCUUACAAACCCCCAGACCUCUGGUGCAGCAGAUAGGCAGAACCAGUUCGCGCCCUUCCCUGGAUGGAGGAUGGAAGGGAGGCCUCGGAUACAGGGGACCCUGCCCCAAGUCCUGGAGCCAGCUAGGGGCCAGGCACGGUGUCUGCUGACUCCUUGUCUAGUGCUCUCGGCAAACGGAAGCGGCUGACCCGCGGAGAACCUGGGUGCUGAGGCCGCUGGCCAGCACCCCAGCUUGGAGAGAGGCACCUAACUUUUCCCUGAUCUGCUCCCCCCAUUUCUGGCGUGGACUAAUAUGCAAGGUUGGCACCAGGGAGGGUGUCGUCUGGCAGCUCCAUCUUUCACGUGGAACAUUAAGCCGAGGUCCUGCACAGCCUUGAACAUUAACCAUCCCUUGGUACCCAUGAAGAAGAGCUACGGGUUUUAUUAACCUCAGUGUUCCGGACACACUGCACACGCGACGCCGUCAUUAACCCACCUCCAGGCUGGGGACAGGGGCCUCUGCGCCAGCACUGUUCCAAGAGCACAGGCCCCACGAAAUGCCUUCAAUAAUUUAAGGAAACUACCAAAAUGUGACCAUAAAGGAUAUAACUUCACCUCAAGGAUGG